UGGGGAAUAUUGGACAAUGGGGGGAACCCUGAUCCAGCCAUGCCGCGUGUGUGAAGAAGGCCUUAUGGUUGUAAAGCACUUUAAGCGAGGAGGAGGCUCUCUUGGUUAAUACCCAAGAUGAGUGGACGUUACUCGCAGAAUAAGCACCGGCUAACUCUGUGCCAGCAGCCGCGGUAAUACAGAGGGUGCGAGCGUUAAUCGGAUUUACUGGGCGUAAAGCGUGCGUAGGCGGCUUUUUAAGUCGGAUGUGAAAUCCCCAAGCUUAAAUUGGGAAUUGCAUUCGAUACUGGGAAGCUGGUGUCCGGGAGAGGAUGGUAGAAUUCCAGGUGUAGCGGUGAAAUGCGUAGAGAUCUGGAGGAAUACCGAUGGCGAAGGCAGCCAUCUGGCCUAAUACUGACGCUGAGGUACGAAAGCGUGGGGAGCAAACAGG
rnacentral:rRNA from 1 species